rnacentral:rRNA from 1 species
UACGUAGGGGGCAAGCGUUGUCCGGAUUUAUUGGGCGUAAAGAGCGUGUAGGCGGCCAGGUAGGUCAGCUGUGAAAACUCGAGGCUCAACCUCGAGACGUCGGUUGAAACCACCUGGCUAGAGUCCGGAAGAGGAGAGUGGAAUUCCUGGUGUAGCGGUGAAAUGCGCAGAUAUCAGGAAGAACACCCGUGGCGAAAGCGGCUCUCUGGAACGGUACUGACGCUGAGACGCGAAAGCGUGGGGAGCGAACAGG